CCUACGGGAGGCAGCAGUAGGGAAUCUUUCACAAUGGGCGAAAGCCUGAUGGAGCAACGCCGCGUGCAGGAUGAAGGCCUUCGGGUUGUAAACUGCUUUUAUAAGCGAGAAAUAUGAUGGUAACUUAUGAAUAAGGAUCGGCUAACUACGUGCCAGCAGCCGCGGUAAUACGUAGGAUCCGAGCAUUAUCCGGAGUGACUGGGUGUUUAGGGUUGCGUAGGUUGCAUAAUAAGUAGCUAGGGAAAUCUGGUGGCUAAACCAUUCAGACUAUUAGCUAAACGGUGAAGCUCGAGAGCGUUAGAGGUAACUGGAAUUUCUAGUGUAGGGGUGAAAUCCGUAGUAAUUAGAAGGAACACCAAGAGCGUAGGCAGGUUACUGGGACGGUUCUGACACUAAGGCACGAAAGAGUAGGGAGCAAACGGGAUUAGAUACCCCUGUAGUC
rnacentral:rRNA from 1 species